UGACGGUAUCAUAUGAAUAAGCACCGGCUAACUCCGUGCCAGCAGCCGCGGUAAUACGGGGGGUGCAAGCGUUACUCGGAAUCACUGGGCGUAAAGAGCAUGUAGGCGGGUGAAUAAGUUGGAAGUGAAAUCCUAUAGCUUAACUAUAGAACUGCUUCCAAAACUGUUCACCUAGAGUAUGGGAGAGGUAGAUGGAAUUUCUGGUGUAGGGGUAAAAUCCGUAGAGAUCAGAAGGAAUACCGAUUGCGAAGGCGAUCUACUGGAACAUUACUGACGCUCAGAUGCGAAAGCGUGGGGAGCAAGCAGGAUUAGAUACCCUGGUAGUCCACGCCCUAAGCGAUGUACACUAGUUGUUGCUAUACUAGAUAUGGCAGUAAUGCAGUUAACACUUUAAGUGUACCGCCUGGGGAGUACGGUCGCAAGAUUAAAACUCAAAGGAAUAGACGGGGACCCGCACAAGCGGUGGAGCAUGUGGUUUAAUUCGACGAUACGCGAAAAACCUUACCUGGCCUUGACAUAGUAGGAAUCUUUAAGAGAUUAGAGAGUGCUAGCUUGCUAGAACCUACAUACAGGUGCUGCACGGCUGUCGUCAGC
rnacentral:rRNA from 1 species